rnacentral:misc_RNA from 1 species
UUGAAUCCUCAGGAUGUCGCUGGCUCUCGCAAGGGAGCAUGUGCACUCCGCCUUCAACCCACCUGUGCACUUAUUGUAGGUCAAAGGGGGAAACCCCUCUGCCUAUGCUUUUUACACACACUUUAAAGUACCAGAAUGUAACACAGUAGACCUUCAGGUCGAAAUAACAAUA